AGUAGGGACUGUCUUUUUGGUUUUUAUUUGAAUAUCCACCUUGCUUAGCACAGUGCCUGGCACAUAGUAAGUUCAAAAUAAAUGUGUGUUUUCUUCCUUCAUCGUCACAUAGUAAGUGAUGAAUAAAUAUUCACUGAUUAAUUGUGUGAAGAGAGUCCGGGGAAAUUAAGAACCUGGCUUAAGAAGGAUGAAAAAGGAAUAACUGCGUACAUAAAGGACAACACAUGAAUUCCAGCUGAACGAGUGCGGCGGGUAUAGGGGUUGGGAGAUUCCAGGAAGAAAUGAGAAGAGAGGUAAUAGGGUUAGGAGAUGGAGAGUGUCGGAGAUGCUGAGAGAAUGAAGUCAGAAUGGAUGCCAGGGAGGAGCACAGCAUCUAGGACUGGCUCGGAGACCUGGAUACCUGGGAUAAAGGAUGACUUUGUGAUAGUUCAUACACUUCUCCAGCAGAUGCAGGACAAAUUUCAGACCAUGUCAGACCAGAUAAUUGGCCGAACUUGAUGAUAUGAGCAGUCGCAUUGAUGAUCUGGAGAAAAACAUCGCUGACCUUAUGACCCAAGCAGGAGUGGAAGAAAUAGAAGGGGAAAACAAAAUACCAACUACACGUAAUAGUUAAAGGUAAGGUUCAGUCUUAUAAAAUUUUGAAAUCUUUUAGUGGCUCAUUUUUCCCCUCAUUUGAUUUUGAUAGAUUCUUGGUGUUGAUUACUUUGAAGAAAUUCAAAUAUCAGAAAUUCUAAUAAGCUAUAACAUACUUUGAAAGAACAAUGGUUAAUUAACCAUUUACAAGGAUUUGUUUCAAGUCAUAGGGCACUUCUUUGCAAGCCCUACUUGUGACUACUCAUGUUGGUGUCACAGCCUUUGCAAACCAGAAAAUAAUUUACUGUUUUAGCUUCUUUCCCAUAGUUUUUAGCAUUUUAAUCUUCCUGGUAUCUGAAAUUUACUGACAGUGAUAGAAUUAUUGAAAAACCAAAAACAAAAAGAAUAUUAAAGCAUACCAUCAUGCCACCCAUUUGUGAUAAAUUCCGUGAUUAUAAAAUGCAGAGUAAUAGGAAUGAUCAGUGAAGUAGUUGUGGAAGGCAAAUAGUUACUUAAAUUAUUUUCAUCUUAAAAAUAAGUUUGCUCUGUAAUAAUGGCCACAUGUCUAAUUUGCCACUGUUGCCUCAUCUUUAGCAUGAAAUUAUUCCUUUAUUACCUAGGGAUAUUUUGGGGAAAUGAUUUAAUUCAUAAGUUUCUCUGACCUGAUUCUUCAUUGUUUAAAUAAAAGAAUUCCCAUCAAAUUAAUUGGAGUUUUC
rnacentral:lncRNA from 1 species